rnacentral:rRNA from 1 species
GAUGAACGCUGGCGGCGUGCCUAAUACAUGCAAGUCGAGCGACGCGUGGACGGGUGAGUAACCCGUGGAUAACCUCCUAUAAGACUGGGAUCACUUCGGGAAACCGGAGCUCAACCGGAUACUUAUCGAUGGAUCCGCGCUGCAUUAGAGAGUUGGUAAGGUAACGGCUUACCAAGGCAACGAUGCAUAGCCGACCUGAGAGGGGGAUCGGACACAAUGGAACUGAGACAGGGUCCAGACUCCGACGGGAGGCAGCAGUAGGGAAUCUUCCGCAAUGGGCGAAAGCCUGACGGAGCAACGCCGCGUGAGUGAUGAAGGUCUUCGGAUCGUAAAACUCUGUUAUUAGGGAAGCGGUACCUAAUCAGAAAGCCACGGCUAACUCCGUGCCAGCAGCCGCGGUAAUAC